GCCAUAGCUUCAUGAUGGAGCGUCUACUUUAUACACAGAAGGUCCCAGGUUCAAUCCCUGGUAUCUUCA